GGGCCCGCACAAGCGGUGGAGCAUGUGGUUUAAUUCGAUGAUACGCGAGGAACCUUACCAGGGCUUAAAUGUAAGUUGCAUUAGUUAGAGAUAGCUAUUUCUUCGGACUACUUACAAGGUGCUGCAUGGUUGUCGUCAGCUCGUGCCGUGAGGUGUCAGGUUAAGUCCUAUAACGAGCGCAACCCCUGUCGUUAGUUGCCAGCAUGUAAAGAUGGGGACUCUAGCGAGACUGCCGGUGCAAACCGUGAGGAAGGUGGGGAUGACGUCAAAUCAUCACGGCCCUUACGUCCUGGCUACACACGUGCUACAAUGGUAUGGACAAUGAGCAGCCACUAUGCGAAUAGGAGCGAA
rnacentral:rRNA from 1 species